AAUCACCGCUAAAAACAAAUUGAAGGACAAAUAACAACGGCCUUAAUAAAAAAGCAGCCGAAAGCAAAGAGCCAUACCGUUUAAUCCCUCUCCACGUCUCUCCUUUUUCCUUUUUCCUCUCUUAAAUUCGCGCAAUCUCUAGAACCAGUCGUCGUCGUCAUCAACAACAACUCAAUAGAAAGAAAGAGAUAAAUAAAUCAGAAAUGGACAGCAACACCACCACCACCACCACCACCACAAAUCCUAAUAACAACAAUUGCAAUUUCAUGUCAUGUGAAAAGCUGGAUCGGGUCGCCAGUUGGGUUGGGGUCAACGUGGCGUCUGCUUUCUUUGCUUCUCUUGAAAGAUGCUCUUGCAUCAACCUUAACACCACCGAUCUUGAAGACGAUGAAGAAGCCAGGGACCGUCCUCUCAUGCUCACCAAGCCUUCGGCCCACGAUCACCACCUCGAUGCCCAGCCCACCAUCAAUAGCGAUGCCCCUAAGCUCUCCGUCUGAUCAUCAUGAUGAUCAAGAUGAUAAUUACCCAUCUUUUUUAGGGUUUGUUUCAUUUCUGUAGCACUUGGACAAAAUAGUUCUAUAUAAUAAUAAUAAUAAUAAUAAUAAUAAUAAGAAUACCCGUUACUCUUGCUGUUCUUUUCUUGUGUGUUUAGUGUUGUAUUUUGAUGUUCUAUCAAUCAAGCAAGAUGUUUCCUUUUUCUUUUGUUAAUCUUGCUAUGAUUAAGGUGUUCUUUAUUGUAAUUUGUGUGUUAUUGCAAAAUUGACCUUUAUUUUUACUGAUUGCGGUGUGGUUUUUAUGAUAUUCUCUCAGCUAGAACUCUCGAACCCUGUUCUUUAUUCGUUAUGAUCGUCAUUAUUCAUUGUCUAAAAAGGUUAUUCGUAGCUUGUAAUUGUAAAUGAUUGCAGUUGGAGAUUCUCUUAAUUCGAACGAAUCGUUUAAAGGAACCACCUUUAAGGACGGGUUUAGACUUUAGAUUUCUGGUGCUUGUUGCUUUCUCUCGGUAGGUAGUUGGUCUUCCUUUUACUUUCAUGCAGGUUAUUACUGAGUGUAGGUGAAUAUAGUAAAGGUGGAUCUUUCGAGGAAUCUAAUCCUCGUAUCUUCAGCAGUCUAAAUUAUGUGACUGCUUUUAACUUUUGAAACAUCUAUACCGCUACUGGGGACUUUUCGUUCUAUGAUCCUGUGAUAUCUCUGUUUUUAUACUGUCAUGUUGGCAUUGACUGGGAUGCAGAAUAAUAAUGAAUUGUGCUAUUGAUCGGAAGGGAGUUUUUGUUCUUGAUCACCACAGAUUAUUGUUUGCCAAAUUAUUUCAUGCAUUCUGAGGCCAUGCUUUUCCAAACUUAAUGAUUGAGGUUUUAGAUAGUAUUAAAUAUGGACAUUUUUCUCUGCAAAUAGCUAGUGCUUUCUUUUUAGAGUUGUCAACGUUGAAUCAUGACCUGAGCUUUAUACUAAAAGUAAGCGAUGCUAUUUGUCUAAUGCAGGGAUGGUGUUUUUGGACUGGGCUGAAGAGAUCAAACACUAAUUUUUCCUUGUUUGGAAUCUUAUAUUUCCUGCUAUUACAAACUUUUGAGCCGAUAAACGAAGAACAAUGCAGUUUAGCUAACCAUUCAGAGGAUUUUAUAAUAGAUACAUCUUACAGUAAACAACAAAAGCUAUAAAUUCAUCUUUGGUCAUUAAUCAUUGUUUCCCGUCGAUAUUCGUUGGAUACCUGGUCAAACACCAAGUACUGGGUUCCUUAUACCAGUCAACAGAAUCAGCAUACAAAAAAUAUAUCCGAUUGUGGAGUGAUGGGAUUGUUGGUAUCAAGCCAGCAAGACUACUAUGGUGGCACCGGAUCAUUUAUUUUGUGAAUGAGAAUGCUAUGUGUAAUUAUAUGCAUUUGCUAGGGAAUGGUCAUCCAGAUAAGGAAAAAAAUGAAAGAAAAAGUUGCAGCAUGGUUAAACAGCGUAUUGAUGAAAACUUAUUUAUACUGCAUGGGCGGCCAGAGUUGAAUUGUUUGCAGUGUGCAGCUCUAGAUAUCAAACACAAAUGGGUAGUCUGAUAAAGCUAUGGAAAGGCUCUUGCUUGGAACCUGAACUUUGCCUCGUCUUCUAAGUGAAAAAGCUAGACAUGCUUUGCCCAUGGCUGUCUCUGUUGCCCUGUAACAAAUUAGAUAAGCUAAGAACAAAUGGAAAAAAGUUUCAUCACCUUUGUCCCUCAGCUAUUAAAUAAUCCUUCAUCUGUAGCCGUAUAUACGGUUUGUUUCUUACAAAGAUGUAAGUUACAGGGGUUUUGUUGCAAA